rnacentral:tRNA from 1 species
GGGAAGGUGGCUCAGUGGUAGAGUGCUUGCCUAGUAUGCAUGAAGCCCUGGGUUCAAUUCCUCAGUGCCA